AAACAAGAUUUAUCGUGAGAAGUCAGCCGAGACCAUAGUAGUGGUCAUGUCGACGUGACCAUGAAGGGU
rfam:Clostridiales bacterium 38-18 SCNpilot_bf_inoc_scaffold_50, whole genome shotgun sequence.